rnacentral:misc_RNA from 1 species
CCAGAGAUGGCGGGCCCCCGCGCCCCCGUCCCCAACCCUUUGUUGACCGAACCACUUUUGCCUCGGGGGCAGAGCGGCCCUCCGCCGCCCCCGGUGGACCACUUAACACUGUCUCUGUACGUCGGAGUAUUGAUUAAAUGAAUGA